AUUUCAAAUCAGUAAAAUGUAUCACAACGAUGAUAUUGUCCAUGAAAGUGCAGUUUUUUUUUUGGCAUUUUUUCACACACAAAUAGCACUUUCACUGACGAUAUCAUUGUUGUGAUACGUUUUACGGUUUUGAAAC